rnacentral:rRNA from 1 species
UGGUGUUUUGAGAUGUCUGGUUUAUUCCGGUAACGAACGAGACCUCAACCUGCUAAAUAGUUAUGCCAAUGAUUUCCCCUUGUGGGAACUCCAUUGGUAGACAACUUCUUAGAGGGACAAUUCAUGCUAAGUGAAAGGAAGUUUGAGGCAAUAACA